rnacentral:sRNA from 1 species
CCCCACCACACACACAGUGUAGUGUACCUUCCGCCUCGCUGCAUUCCAAAUCGAGCCACCGCCGGUUGCCUUGGGUCGUCAGUCACGCCUUAUGCACCGGCGAUGGCGAUGGUCCUUGCCUGAGGUCGUGUUGCCGUGAUCCCUCAGCAACAACCCAGUCUUUAACAACCGUAGAAGUAAAAGGCUGGCUAGCUCUAGGUGCCGUGCCUAAACUUCCGAGCUCUGUAAUAUCAAAUAAAACUCACCCGGUGUGGGAAUAAGCGAAUGCACGAUUUAGUUAGUUUUACCAGUAAAAAAAAACAGGAUGGAGGGGAUGGAGUGUCUGUCUUCGAAAAGUCCACUUCCCUUUCUUUCUUUCUUUCUUUCUUUCUUUCCUUUUUGUUUA